CAGUCGCCGCGGUAAUACGGAGGAUCCGAGCGUUAUCCGGAAUUAUUGGGUUUAAAGGGUGCGUAGGCGGAUAGAUAAGUCAGUGGUGAAAGACGGUGGCUCAACCAUCGCAGUGCCGUUGAUACUGUUUAUCUUGAAUAUGGAUGAGGUAGGCGGAAUGUGGCAAGUAGCGGUGAAAUGCAUAGAUAUGCCACAGAACACCGAUUGCGAAGGCAGCUUACCAAGGCAAAAUUGACGCUGAGGCACGAAAGCGUGGGGAUCGAACAGGAUUAGAGACCCCUGUAGUCCCUGUCUCUUAUAC
rnacentral:rRNA from 1 species